rnacentral:rRNA from 1 species
UGAGCAAUCUGCCCUUCUCUUUGGAAUAAGCGUUGGAAACGACGUCUAAUGCCGAAUACGACCUCCUUUCGCAUGAUCGGAGGUGGAAAGCUCCGGCGGAGAAGGAUGAGCUCGCGGCCUAUCAGCUAGUUGGUGUGGGUAAUGGCCCACCAAGGCGACGACGGGUAGCCGGCCUGAGAGGGCGACCGGCCACACUGGGACUGAGACACGGCCCAGACUCCUACGGGAGGNAG